rnacentral:rRNA from 1 species
UUCGUUUAAGUCCUGCGAUGGGGAGCGGCGGACGGGUGAGUAACACGUUGGAAUCUGCCCCAAACUGAGGGAUAAGCACCGGAAACGGUGUCUAAUACCGCAUGUGGACUUCGGUUUAAAGCUUCGGCGGUUUGGGAGGAUCCUGCGUCCUAUUAGCUUGUUGGUAAGGUAAAGGCUUACCAAGGCGAUGAUGGGUAGCUGGUCUGAGAGGAUGAUCAGCCACACUGGAACUGAGACACGGUCCAGACUUC